CAAACCAUUCCAGGAUUCCACGGCCACCCCUGGCACAGAGCAGGAAGCCUUGGCUGGCCCCAGUAAGGUCUGGCUCCAGCAAAUCCAACCCCUGUCCUUCGGCAUCCUUCGGCAUCCCAGUGCCACUACAGCUGCUGAAAUGUGCCAUGAAACCAGGGACCUCCAAGCUCUGCAUCAAAACACCUCGGAGGCAAUUCAUUUAUACCAGGAGAACUUCUGAGGCUGGAAUUUUCCCUGAUGGCACUGCUGGAAGGCUACAACAGCCCAGCAGGUCAGCCAGUUGAAAGCAGUAUUUCAUCUGGCAAUUUAUUCAAAUAAAUCUUUCAAAACAUGAAAUAAGCUCUAAAGAUGGAGACUGUCAAAGGCUGCGGUAGCCGAGCUCCUGAGUGGAAUGACCAAGCAGGAGGAGCAGCUGUGGGACAGGAGCCCAGCUCCCUGUGCUGGGAGCAGUGUGAUCCAGUGAGGGGCUCAGCAGGAUAACAGUGAUGGGCUUAACGAUGAAAAGGUGCUUUUGUCAAUUAUUAUCAUUCCAUGUGCAGUGGCACGACCCCAGAGAUGAGUGGAAGGUCUCCAGCACCCGGUGGGGAUUUUAAAGGCUUUGAAGCACCCAGGUCUGAGCUCAGCCGAGACAGAGCAGCCCUGCCAGAGACAGCUGAGGGGAAUUCCAGUGCAAAGGAAGGUUUUCCUGCCAUUGCCCGGGGGAAGGAGGAGCUGGAACAAGUGGCCAGGCGUGUUUUGGAGGAAGAAGAGCCCCUUUGUGGUGUGCACACCAUGGGCAUUGUCUGCUCGUGGGUCAGCGGCGGGAGCUGCCCCCGCUUGGGCAUCGGCUUCUCCUGCCAACAUUCCCAGUCAGGCUCAGCUCCCUCCCUCAGCCUCUGCCCUCUUCACCAGCUCCAGCGAGGAACAGAAGGCACGAUGGAGACAGUAAUCACAGAAUC